UAUCCUACGGGGGGCAGCAGUGGGGAAUAUUGCACAAUGGGGGAAACCCUGAUGCAGCAACGCCGCGUGAGUGAAGAAGUAUUUCGGUAUGUAAAGCUCUAUCAGCAGGGAAGAAGAUGACGGUACCUGAAUAAGAAGCCCCGGCUAACUACGUGCCAGCAGCCGCGGUAAUACGUAGGGGGCAAGCGUUAUCCGGAUUUACUGGGUGUAAAGGGAGCGUAGACGGUUCUGCAAGCCAGAUGUGAAAGCCCGGGGCUCAACCCCGGGACUGCAUUUGGAACUGUAAGGCUAGAGUGUCGGAGAGG
rnacentral:rRNA from 1 species